rnacentral:lncRNA from 1 species
AUGAGAAUCUUUACCGAAGAUGAGACAAAUCAAUUUUUCAGCAGUCCAAGCAAUAGUGAGCAAAUGCAGACCCUGAAAAGACAGCCAAUGCUUGCUUUGACUGAAGACUCUCUAAGUUCAGACCCAUCACCUAAAAAGCACAAAACUGACGCAGACAACAAAGGUGACAUAGUAACUAACAAUCUGUCUAAACGAUGUCGGCUGGAGGAACGUCUCUCCUCUGGAGAACUUCAGUAUAUUGAUAGUCAGUCACCCGAGCAAAUUUUAACGCAAGUAGAUGUUCACAGUCGUGAUGAAUCCCAAAGCCCGUCAGAAACAACAUUCUCUGAAAAUGGAUCUUUGAGCAUGUCUACUCCACGGCUCAACUACACUCCUCUCACAGAGGAUAGCUUCAGUGAUGGGAACCUUCUCACACCAGAAUACUCAUUGCUCAAGUAUUCUGCAUCCACAUUCCAUUCUCCAUCUAGUCUUGACGCAUCACCUGCGGAUUCACCUUUUGGAAAAUCACGGCACAGUUACCAAGAUACACCCAACUCCCGAACAGAACUCCUGCCCAACAGGCGGAGUUUUCCGGGUUUUUUGACUAGUCCUUUGACUGAUGUAUCUCAGUACGAAGUUUUAAAAAAUGAAUCAGAAACAUGUGUAGAUGAUAGUAAAAAGUCAUCUCCAUUAGAGACAAGUUUUUCCGGGUACAGCCGGUUAGAAUGCUCGCCCAGCCAACAGUACGAAAUUUUUGAGAAUGAAAAAGAAUCCAAUGCAGAUGAGAAAAAAUCUAGUAAUUCGGAAUUAGUUUCUUCGCCAACGGAGUCUUUGCAGAGCAACAGACUAAACUUCCCUACGUUUUUAACUAGUCAGUUAGAAGUUAAGAAAGAUGAUCUUUACGGCGAUUUGGAACCUGACAAGGAAGCUUUAAUAGCAGACGACAAAAGUGGGAGCAAUGAGUCGGGCGGUCACACGCCAUCCUCCACCAAUGAUCUUGUUGUCUAUGAGAACGUUCCACGCCAUGACAAUUCUCCUGUCGUUUAUGAAAAUAUGACUGUUAGUAGAGAUGUUAAGUAUGAACCAAUUGACGAUGACUCAUGUUAUGAAGAUGUUUUCUUUGAAAAUCCAACCAGUAAAAAGCGGCAUGUCUGUGACCUUAAUAACAGCCAUGAAAAUAUUAGGUUAAUUCAAGAUGAUGAUGGAAGUAUGAACAGCAUGUCCUCGAGUUUGAAUCAGGACCUCCAGAAGCAAGUGGAAACCAACAUCUGUGAUGAUUCCAAAGAGGAAACAAUGUAUGAAAAUGUCCCAGAUUCAAAAGAGCUCUAUCAGCAAGUCAAAUUUUUUAAGCGUUCAGUAACAGAAAUUAACCAAAUGUUAGAUCAUGAUAGUCAGGUUGUCCAGAUGACUGAAACUCCGCCAAAGUCAGAAGACAAACUGGUGGAUAUGGAUACCUCUGAAGAUGUGCCUAAGCUUACUCCACUGAACAAAGCAGAAAGUGAAUCCUUCUCACACACACAACCACCUAAAGACCCUGUACCUCCCAGUGAAGUCAUGUUAGAGAACUCGCCAAUAGGAAACACAAGUGCGUCUCCAAAGAAAGAAGGACAAGAUAGCUCCAUCAGGAAUCCAGAAAAUGAUACUGGAAACGAUAUCUCUUUGACUGGAAGUAACUCCUUAUUAAUCAAUCUUAACGAUCAAGAUGUUCAAGAGCCAAGAACAGAGGAACGUCCAGAGUCUAGAAAUAGUGAAUCAGAUGGUACGAAAAGCGUUCACCAACUCCUGUCAUGUUUUGAAGUUCCUUCAAUGGAGACUUCCCCCAAAAAAUAUAGCUCUAAAGACUCAUAUAUCAGAACUAGCAAUACAGAUCUGUCCAAACCUGUUAUUGCAAAACUGGGUGAUGCUGGUAAAGUGAUGAGUGUUGAGAAAAUUCCCGAAAAUGAAACAGAUUUAGACCGUCGGAAAAGAAUCGAAAAGUACAAGGAGGAAAGGCGGACUUUUUUGAGGCAAAAGUAUAGCGUGGAAAAUCUAAAGAGCUCAGAAGAAAGUGAUGUUGUUCGUAGAUACAAAUUAAAAUCCGAAGGGAAAGAAAGUGGUCCCAUUGAGAAGGUGUCGCAAAAAUCAGAGGAUGACAGCCUGCAAAACAAAUCAGAAUCUCAAAAAGUCAGUGCUGACUCAACAACAGUUUCCGACAAUCAUAGCCGUAGGUCAGUAUUAGAUAAAUGUCUGAACUUGGAGCUCAAAAAGGCGCCUCCGAAUUUAAAUUUAUCCGAAACCAAUUUCAAGAAACCUAUCUUUGCCCGAUCUGUUUCGGAUAAUGGAGUCCUAUCAUCAGGCAAAACAUUAAUCAGUAUCUGUUACUCUCCAACGAGGAAAACAAUUACCCCUGAGACUGACACGAAGUCUGCAGCCGUACAAGAUGAAGUCUCAGCUUCAAAAGAAAAUGCAACCUGCAUCACAAUCAAACACAAAAGUAGUGAAGAUGGUGAAAAGCCGUCUCAAAAAUCGAAAUUGAAGUCAAGCGUAGACUAUUCAUCAAGGGAGAGGAGUGGUGCUGACUUUCGGCUUAGUCCUGAAAAGAAAGAGAAAGAAAAAAUCAGCCCAGAGAGCAAGGGCAUAGUGUCGCAGCGCGUGAACCAACUCAUUGGACCCGCAGAUGGUGUCGUUCCAGCACCACGAAAAACAUCUCUCUCACACCAAAGACAAAUUCCAGUGGCGGUGAAUCGCCAGCGAGCUCACAGCGCAAGCGAUCGCAUCACUCCGUACUGCAUCAAAGAAAUGGCUGCAUUGUUUGAAAAACCAGAAGAACUGACCAAAAAGUCAUAGAGGAACUUUUAUCAAAAAUUAUUUUUAUAUCUGUUAUUUAGUCAAGACACUAGCCUUUGGGAUAGUUUGUUAUUUUUUUAUUUUUGCUCUGUAUGUCUGAAACCUAGCUAAACUCAUAUGAGCAUAUUAGUUUGAUUAUUUUUUUGCUCCAGAAAAAAGGGUAUUGAGUUACAAGAAUGUUUCAACUGGUUUAUGAGCUCAUCAAAAUUUUUAGUUCUCAAGUCUGUCGGUAUGAAUGCUUCAGACUGCAUCUGUUCAGUUUGAUAACCAGUGCUUACAAAGAAAUGGAUGAAUCCUUCAGGAUUUUAAUUUCUGCUUUUAAAAAUCUGUACUUCCAAACCUUGUGCACGUUGUAGCAAAUAAAUAAAGAUCAGUAGAAUUUUUUUUUUUUUUUUUUUUUUUUUUUUUUUUUUUUUACAAUAUGGCCAAAAGUAUGGUCCUCUACUUAAAAAUAUGUAUCAUUACCUGUUGCUUGUCAGGAGGUCAGUAAUUUUCUCUUGCCCUUCAAUUUUCAAUCAUCAAAUUUUCUCAACAGAAAAAUCAAAUUCGUUAAAACGUCACUCUUUGCUUGUUACUUUUUUACUCUCCUGUGAAUUAUAUUACCCUCACCGAAACAGAAGAUUAUGUUUAGAUCAGAAGGGCAGGGCAUCUGUCUUGUACACAAUGACAUCACAAAUCAUUAUUAACCAAAGAGAUGAAAAAGGCCCAGUGAACUUUUUUUUUUUUAUAUAGAUGUAAACUUUGUUGAAUCUGAUUAUAUUUUAGAUCUAGAGAUUACGUCCUUAGUCCUUUUAAGGGUCUUUAAUUUUUCAUUGUAAUUCUAUCUUGUCAACACACUCUGUUUGUUAAUAAUCUGCAGUCAUUUUUCUUUUUUUAAUCUUACUGAAAGGAUCCAAAAACAUAUGAUAACAAACUAACUUUUGGUGCUAGGAAUGCUUUUUCAUCAAGGGUGGUUAUCGAAAGUGGGAAGAAUCUUCAAAAAGUUAUUUUCCUUGAUGAGCUGAAAAUCUAAAAACUUGUUUUUGAUGAGGCUUAGUUGUCGGGAUUAUUUUUUUGUUGUUAGUAUAUUUUUGACUCUUUUAUCUCAAGUCUAUCUCAAUCUUGCAAACUGUGAAUCCUGUACAAGUACUGUUUGGCUUUUAAAUCCUGAAAAGUAUGGAAAAGCUUUAACCCGUUGAACCUGUGUUAUCUUAAGGCCUGAGCUCAUUUCAAGACUCUGAGGCACCAUUCCCCUCAACCUUCGUGACUCAUCAUUUGUGUUAAAAUCUCCAGCUGUAAUUUUAGAAGGAAUGACUUAUUUAUUACUCAGCUGGAGGAACCGAUUCAGAAAUAAAUGUUUUCAAGUUGGAAUUGUGAUUUGAAUUCACAGCAAGAAUGAAAAUUUUAUUUUUCUGCAUGAGCCAUUUUGCCUAGUUUUUACAGUCAUUUUUAUGAUUUUCCUCUCUAUUUAGGAACUGUUCAAAUUUGAGCUGCAGCGGAAUUAUGUAUUGCUUUGUUGCAUCAAAAAGAAAAAAUGGAGUCUCGGCUUCACUACUAACAUAUGUGCUUCAGUAUUAUAUUAGAGAAAAUGCGGUUUUAAGUUUCAAAGGUCUUACCUGAAAGCUGACAAAUCAAAGGCAUCUUAUGUUGCCUUAAAAUGAUCAAACUGCUGCUUUCUAUGUAAGCAUUUUUCGUUUUAGAAUAUUUGUGCUUGUUUCAUAAUCUUUGGUGCAUUUUGUACUAAUAUCUCCUAAUUGCAUGUACAAUUUCAUUACUUGAUGCAUUUUUCCAAGAAUACUCAAAAUUUUGACCCAGACUUCAAAGUUUGCACGAAUCAAACAUCUGCCUAUUGUAUACCAUUUAUCAGAUUUACCUAAGUUGUUACUUUGUUUUAUUUUACUCUUUUAAUCAUCUAUCCAACUUGGCUGUGAUUUGACAUUCAGUCCCCUUAAAAUGCUUAAAUGUCGGUCUUCCUGUGCUUUCCAAUUUUAAAUCAGGUCUCAUGAGUAUUAGGAGUUUCUCUCACAUGAAUGCUCUCAAUAUCUGUGGUGUGAAAAACAGGAGGUCCACCCUUUAUUGCCCUAUUAUUCUUCAAUGUAUUUCCUUGUCUUUCUUUGCCUUAGAAGCGAUUAACAAAAACUCAUUUGAUCAAUUUUAUCAGUAUUUAAUAUGUACUUGAAUUUCAUCCAAUAAUCAAUAUUAAUCAUACUUCAUCAUAAUUUAGGAAAAUAUACAUCAGGAAUUUUUAAAUAUAUCUAGGAAAUUUGCUUUUGUAGAUCAAGCAAAAUACCUUAGCUUUUUAGGACUGAACUGAUAAUAAAAAAAAACAAAAAACGAAGGAGAUGGUAUGAAAUAAAACACUACGUAACAUGUUUUCUCUUCAAAAUUUUAUGAGGAAAACGAAUCACACCUGGGGAAGUAUGGAAAUGAACUCCUCAACAACAUAUAAGCCUAUACGAUCAACAUUAGUCAGAUAGUAAAAAUACAAAUCACUUCAUUUGCAUAAUCUAACUUUCAUUCGAUCUGUGUUGAUAAUAUUUGUUAAUCUCUGAACUUCCUCUUGUGUGAAUUGUUUUCUAUGUAAGAUUUUUGAAGAAAAAUAUGAGACUUUUUCCUAAUUCAUAUCUUGUCCAGUCGCCUAUUGACCGAGUGUUAUGGUCAUCUUUGGCUGCAAAUACAAUAUAGUGUAAUUAUUCACAUAUCAAUUAAAAAGAAUCAUUUUUAUUCUUUAUCUCUUUCAUAGAAACCAACAGAAAAUAAUUUUUUUGAGGACCCUUACUUUUACCUACAAUGUAUUUAUUUUUUAUCAUACUGUCCUGAAGUUCCUUUUCUAAAUUGGAUCAAAUUUUGAAGAAGGUUUGAAGACAAGACUGCUGCACCUGCUGCCAAGAUUGUAUGAUUUCUUUUUACAAGGGAACCUAAAAUCUUAAACUGUGUCUGUCUGGUAAUGCCAAAAAAACAAUCAAAUUAGAAAAUCACCCUGUAAAUUUAAUGUCUCGAACUGGUUUCAGUUAAUGUAUCAAGCAAAUCUCAGCAAGAUCACAUGCUCUUGAUUCUUUUUUGCAAUGUGCAGUCCGAUCUGUCCCAGUUCCAUCGCUUGUCAAGUAUAUUGGCAAUCUGUUUGGUCGAACUGCUGUGCAGUUUUUUUGAGAGCUGAUUUAUGUUUGGCGUAAAGCUCGACUAAACUUUGUAAUCUGAACAAUUGUAGCCUGUAUUGGUAUCACAAUUUCAGUUAAUUGUAAAGCCUGGAUAACUGGCAAUUUUUGUCAGUGGUUUUCUCAGCUCAGUGUCCAAAUUUCUCACUUUUCUUUAAAAAUUAUUUUCAGUAACUUUUUUUAAGCCAUGAUUUUAUUUUUACCCGGAACUUUACUUAUUUCUUUACAGUAUAUUUUCAGAGUACAGGUUCUCUGUUCGUUUUCUCCUGUAUGUACUUAAAAAAAAAAAAGUGCUUCGUUUACUGCUGUUAUCUAUGAUAAGAAGACAGCAGAAAAUUUCAGAAUGAAUGCUGAAGCUGGUUGUAAAAUUUUAGCAGAGUAAAUGGACUGGCAAGGUCAUGACAUAAUUAAUAUUCUGGAGAGGAAAAAAUGCAUGAAACAUAAAUGUCAAUAUCUGUCGAAAAAAUAUUGAUAAAAAGCUUCAACUUGGCUCAAACUAAAAAUUUUUAAAAAAGAAUAAAAAUAAAAUCUUGGUGAGCGUCUGCUGACUAUCUAUGCUGUACCUAGUUUUAGUCCCUUUAAAACGCAAAAUUUCUCAUUCAUCAGAAAAAUUGGUUCUUCAUGGAUGUAAGUUUUAUAUUGUUAUUAAUUUGUCUUUUAUUCUGCAACACUCAAUCAGAACCAGGAUUAUAAUUAACUCCUUCAAUUAAUAUUGUUGUGGACAUUUUUAAGAGCCUUAUUUUUCCUUGCUGAAUUUUAAGUUGUGGGCGUCAUAGAAGCUUGCAUAAUUUAUCGACAAUAGCUCUCACAAAGAAUGUCUUCUUGUUAUGUUUUAGAUCCAAAGAUGUAGUUAUUGAUAAGCUGUGUCAUAUUGCUUAAGAUAUUUUGUUUUAAUUUUAAAUCAGUCUCAUGUACCUAUAUAAAUAAACUGCCCUCUUUAUUUUGCUCUUGUAAAUUGUAAUUUUAAUGUAAAUACAUGUUUUUUACUGCAUUUAGACACAUGCAUUUGUACAUAUUACAUGCAUGUCUUUUAUUGUAUGCAUACAAUGAAUACAAUUGCCGAAGUUAAAUGUUCUGAGUUUUUUCUUGUCACUCUCCUUAAUCUUAGCUGUAUCAGAAAUCUGCUGAAAGAAAUAUUUGGUUAAAAAACCAUCAAUUUUCAUCAUGAUAAAAAAUGGACUAGCACAAAAAUGUUGAAACCUUUAAUGAAGUUCUCUUGACGUGAGAACCCCUGGGCCUGUAAAGAGUGUGACAGCACAUGGAUCUGGAGGUACAGGAGGGCUGGCAAAUUCACUCCGAAGAGAAGAGGUGUCUGUUUUUUUACGAGUAACUAAUUUCUCAAGAUGAGCAAUCAAAAGACGUCUGGACAUUUCACUUAAAAUUA